rnacentral:rRNA from 1 species
AAGUGGAUAGCGAAACCUGGUGGCUCAACCAUUCAGACUAUUAUCCAAACUGCUAAGCUCGAGAAUGGUAGAGGUAGCUGGAAUUUCCUGUGUAGGAGUGAAAUCCGUAGAUAUAGGAAGGAACACCAAUGGCGUAGGCAGGCUACUGGACCAUUUCUGACGCUAAGGCACGAAAGCGUGGGGAGCAAACGGGAUUAGAUACCCCGGUAGUCCACGCCGUAAACUAUGGAUGCUA